rnacentral:rRNA from 1 species
UACGUAGGGUGCGAGCGUUGUCCGGAAUUAUUGGGCGUAAAGGGCUCGUAGGCGGUUUGUCGCGUCGGGAGUGAAAUCCACUGGCUUAACUGGUGGCUUGCUUUCGAUACGGGCAGACUGGAGGUAUGCAGGGGAGAACGGAAUUCCUGGUGUAGCGGUGAAAUGCGCAGAUAUCAGGAGGAACACCGGUGGCGAAGGCGGGUCUCUGGGCAAUAACUGACGCUGAGGAGCGAAAGCGUGGGGAGCGAACAGG